CUGAUUUAGAUUCAGAAAUCCUAGAUUUGAACUCAGUGAACCCCAGCUCUCACUGGUAAAAUGAGAAUAUUAGAGUAAAGGAUUUGGGUCCCUUCCCCUUCUAAUUCAAUGAACCUUGGAUUUUUAGAACUUUUAUAGUUUGGGGGGUAGGGUGGGGUGGUAUUCAGGGAUCCAGAAAGAUAUCAAAAAAUGGUAUCAUAAUUAUAAAGCAUAUUAUUUGUGACUCUUUAUUGGAUAUGACAGUUCAUGAUGGGCCAAUCUUUCAUGCUAGCUAACAUUCAUACAUGGAAAUAUGAGAAACAUUUCCUUUUUAAUGUUACCAUAGAAAAACAUUUUAAUAUUUAAGUAAUUGCAAAUGGGCUUUUGAACCAUGACAAAACAAAUUGGGUCUUGAGAAUGCUGGAUUAGAGGUAUCCGCUCCACUCCUUCUCUUUACAGGUAAGGAAACUAAGGUAUUAGGUGAUUAAGUGACUUUUCCAACAUCAUAUAACUAGUAGGUAUUCAGUUUGUCCUCCUAAUUCCAAGCCCAGUGUUGUUUCUGUUAAGUGACAUUGUCCCUCCUAGCUUUGCUCAUAUUUUACUAAUUUUUUUCUUAUAGGGACAAUAAUGGGGAUAGUACAAAUCUUGAUCAAUGAAUCUUAGAGAUGCAAGAAUCCUUUUUGGCUCCCUAAAUACACUGGAUUAUACUGCUAAAAGCAUUUGAUUGGAAAAUUCCAGGACAAAUAAAUGGUGGAGAGAAAAGGUCUUCUUCUGAUAUGGAAAAGAAACUAAAACUCCCCAAAAGAAGAAGGACCCUGACGAACCUCAGAAAUUUGUAUUUGCCUAUGUAUUAUUUUUCCAAGACACCCAGGCAGCCAUCAAAGGUCAAAAUCGAAAUGUGGUUUUUGGUGAAGUUUAAUUGUGGCCUCAGUGUGGGAUAGUUUCAGAGAGGAGCAAAAACAGGUGUAUUGGAAUUGCCUUGAAUCACCUCGUUGAAAAGUCCAAGUCCAUCACAAUUGAUCAUCACAUAAUCUUGCUGCUGGGGCACAGGGAAGAUUGUUCCGAAUUUUCUCUAUAGGGGCUCUUCACUACUCUGGGGCUGAUUGUGCUGCAGUCUUCCCCCUGGACUGGGACAAACUGUCAAAAAGAUGUGAUUUCUGCAAUUUGUCUGAAGAGGAAAAGAAGGCAAUCAGAAUUAUCCUUGACUUCUCAGGGUCAUGACUGAUGAAUUUGAAGAGUCAGAGGUUCAUCUCUGUGUUAUUUGCUUAGGUGAAGACAUAAAGCCAGUCACCCCUAAAUUUGGACAUACUAUUUGCAUAUCUUGCCUCAGCAAUGAAGCCCCUCCAUCUUCAUGUUGCACUGAAUGUCAGGAAUUUUACCAGUUGAGAACUCAGGCUGAUAUGGCCAUGCACCCUGAAGUUUUGAAAAAGCAUGUGUGAGAGAUACAGUGAAGAACUAAAGUUGUAUUGUUAUAAUAAUAAGACCCUACUCUGUGUGACCUACUGUAAGUUAGAGGACCAUGAAAAUCAUACACACUGGCCCACUGCAGUGGCUGCUCAGUACUACAAAGUAAAUUAUGCAUUGAUUGAUGUCAUUUCUUCAGGUAGUUUAAUGUGUGCAUUGGUAAUGACUCUUCCCUGAUCAAUUUAGUCAUUCCUAUUUUAGUCUCUCACUUGGAAAUAUUCCCUGAUACUCAAGUAUUUAUCAGAGUGAGGUCAAGUAAUGUUUAUUCUUGUUUCUCUUUCAGGAGGAGAUCCAGAUAAAUCUGGAAAGCUUGUGUAGAAUGGGAAGGGAACUCCAGGAACUUUUCCUAAAAGAGAAAGAAGAAUCCCUCAUAUGGACUGUGGGAUGGGUUAUAAGUAUCUGUCUCCUCAGAUAUCUUGCAUAUAAUCUUACAUAUCCUCAAUCUCAGAGGAUUUUCACAAAAAAACUUCUCAUCAUUGUUAUUUACCAUAUUUAACAAAUGAGGAAACUGGUUCAUAGACAUGUUAUUUAUCACCUGAUAUUAAUGAGUUCAGAAAUUUGAGUCAAACCAGUAUCUCCUGAUCAAAAACCCAGUGCUGGAUGUUAAGAUCUCUUUCCAAGCUGGCUUCUAUCUCUUCCUUCUUAUUUCAGCUUUCUCAUCUGUGUUAUCUAGUCUUAACCCCCUUCACUAAAGUAGAAAAGUGAGAUCUCAAGUGAGAGAGUAACUAAAAUGUAAGAAAUCUUUUGACAAUAAGUAAAGACUUUACUAAUACAAUGGUGUACAACUAUUACAAACUGGCUUUGAAAGAAUACUUGGAAAUCAGUGAAUCAUAUUACCCUUCCAUCAUUAUCUUCCAUAGUUAACAAUUAGUAACACCUAUUAAGUUUCUUUUAUGUUUUAAGUACUGUGACAAAUGGUGGAGAGCAAGCAAAAGGCAAAAAUGGCCCUUGCUUUGAAGGAACUUUCAGACUAAUAAGAGAGAAAAACAUGAAAACAGGCAUGUUCAAUAGGAAGGACUGCCAUGAAAAAAUAUAGGGAAACACUCCUUGGAGAAUUCAGGAUUUGAGCUGAGGCUGAAAGGAAGCCAGGAACCUAUUAGUGAUGAGGACAGGGUAAGUUCCCAGCAUUAGAGGCAUCCCAGAUAUUGCUUGAGAAUCUAGAGUACCUGGAACGCAAAGAUGUUGAAGAAGACUGCAGAGCUUAGAAAUAUAUUUCUGAUGCAUUUUCAGGUUUGCAUGGGCAGACCAGUCAGUCAAACAUGUUCUUAUGCCUUAUGCAGAAGGGGAAAAUUAUAGGUCUUCUGCAGCAGAUAAGCAAUCACUUUUAUAUUCAUAGUGAAGAUUGCUACAAAUAUAGCAACAGUUAUACAACUUAGAUACAUUUAAUGAGGAGAAGUGACAUCAAAGGAUAUCUCCAGAAUUUAGCAAGUUUGGGUCUAGUAAGAGAAAGGAAUAUGAGGCCAUACUUCCUUCAUUGUAAACUGGAGAGUUUGUGAAGAUUAGGAAGGUGACCUGUCCAUUUUUUUUCUUUCUAGCCUAAUGGCUGCAGUGGGAUUGCAGCCAUUAGGGAUUGUAGUAACAUGACCAAAAAUAUAGAAGUAGAAAUUCUGAUUGAGUACAGGGAAAGCCUGAACAUUGGAGAGGCUUCUGUAAAGGUAGAUUGGCUCUAGUUUAUGGAGAAGUUUAAAUUCCUUGGAAAGAAGUAUUAAUUAUAUUUAACAGGAAAUAGGGAGCCAUGACAAGAUUGUGAGGAAAAGAGUUUCUGAAGAAGAUGUAAAAACAGAUUAAUCCCUAAGGUGAGUUGUAAAUUAAUUCACAGUCAAAUUUAAAUGCACAUUCUUUCAGGGAGCUUAUGAAUGAUGAGGAACUUGGGAAGAAGAUCUGUAAUUAAAGUUUUAGUAAAGGAAAAUAUGAAAAAAAAUCCUGACUUGGAAAUAUUAGAGAUACCUUUAGGAAUUGAGAGUCCAAGCUUGGAAUAGUAAAGGAAGCAAAUUUUUCCUGUAAAGUGCUAUGGUGGGUGGUUGAAUGGAUGGGAUGAAAAACAAUUCUUCUUUUGGGAGAAAGAAGGUAGAAGAUAGAGAAAGAUAGGUUGGAGAAAGUUUCUUGAAUGCCUUAAAACUUCUAAAAUAGUUAAACUGAAAAAGCCCAUAGAUGUCAUUCAAAUGUAUAGAAGUUCACAAUUUAAAGGAUAAAAUUGAAAAUGCAUCAGAAGCCAAGUAACUUCCUCCAGUUAACACAAUAGGUAGGAGGAUUUCCUGGGCUUCUGACUCCUGCUUAGCCCAGUAGUCUUUGCAUUACACCACACUGAACAGUCAGGGAAAGGGAGGUUUUGGUGUUGCCCUUGGUAUAUCACCCAAUAGUUUCUCUUCAGGACUAUACAAACAGAGAGCAAUUUCAGCAAUUUAAGCAACUAUGGGAAUAGGAAAGAAAGUCAAAGAGGAAAAAGUUGUUGUGGAGAAGGAAAACAAAAUGCUUUAUGAACUCUAUCAAUACUGAAGGAGAUGGAGGCUAUACAGGAACUACAAAUCAUGAAGAAAAAGAAGGAAGGGAGACCAUGAUGUUCAGCCAGAGCAAAUUCUUAAUAGAAAUGAUCACUGAGCUGGAGGAAAAGAUGCAAAAGCCAGAUUUAAAAAUGCUACAGGUGAGAUUAUGGACUCAUCAGGGUCUAUUGUUUAUGGGGAUAAGAAAUCUUAGACAACUUCUUUCAUUGCUCUUCCAAGAUCCCAAAAGAUUUCUUUUGGCAUCUGUCCUUGUCUCCUGCUCUAUGUACCUUAUGUUUCCUGGUGGUGCAGAUGAGGAGAAGGGGUCACUCCUGAAAGAUGAGGUGUCUGACUACAGACAGCUUGGCUUGAGAGCAGCCUGGAGGACUCUAGGAACUGGUGCUAGGGCCAAAUGAUCCUAGGAUAUGAAGCCUAGGAAUCCUGUUCCUCUAACUUGGAGCUCUCGUGGAGUAAAAAAAAAUGAUAUAAGAACACUCUCAAGGUAUCUUUUAAGAACUUUAGAAUCAAUUGGCAUGGGAGACACUAACAUAAGACAGCCUAGCAUGGCAUGCUCUUAUCAGAGAAGGUGCUAUACUCUACAAGCACAGUAGAAUUGAAUUAGCCCAAAAGAAACAUGAGAUGCACAAAAUUAGAGAAGCUACCCCAAAUGUUCAUAUGAACUAUUUGUGUCCAACCUGUGGUAGGUAGAGCAUUCCAGGUUUCUAUUGGUCUGAUCAGCCACAGUCAGACUGAAAUUCUACUAUAACAUAAUGAUAUCAUUUUGGUCUUCUUGGAAAACGAGGGAUAAUAACCACCAAUCAUAUGUGUAAGCAAUAGUGGCUGGUUUCCACAGUAUCAUAGAGAUGGCUCCAGAAGAUCCCCAUUCAUUCUUAGGAGAACUUUUAUUAGUACCAAUAUUUUUUCCCUCUAUUUUUCUCCAUAUGAAAGAAAAUGCCUGAAUGGGCUUUUUCACAAAAUGAGGUAAACAGGUUGUCCUCUAAAAUCUUCUUUUUUGACCACAUUUCUGCUAUCACAUUAGAGGAACAAUCAAACACUUUGUAACAUGGGGAGUUUAUAUCCAGAAUCCAGCUUUUCCAAGCUGAGAUUUAGUGAAAUCAAGAAAAUAAGAGAAAAAGAUGAUGGGCUUUUUUAGAAGUGGGUGUCACAGAAAGAUUUUAGGAGAAACUUCAUGGACUAUUCUGAUAUUUUUUUUCCUUUCUAGAAUAUGGAAGAAACAUUGGAAAGGUAUGUUUCUUUUUAGAUAGUAGAUUAUUACAGAACUUAGUUUGGGGAUUGGGGGAAAAUGAGCCUGUGUGUUUUCUCAAAAGAGGUAGAGGAAAUAAGGUAUUUAGUACAAUGAAAGGCACAGCCUGUACAAUAUUAAUUUUUUUUCCUAAAGGAGUGUGGUUUGGCCAAAUUUGGAAAUUUUCAUACUGAAUUUGGAUGAUUCUCAUCUCAGUGUCCUAGUGGAAUUUUUAAAAGUCUUUCUAAGUAAGUGUCAGCCCCUUGGGCAAGAACUUUGGGCUUUCCUCACAAGAAUCCUAGGAGGAAAACAACCUACCCAUUAGAAUCUUCAAUGUCUCCACUAUCAAAACUCUGAUGAUGUUGUGUCUUUAACUUGGAAAUUACUCCUAGUAUAGAUAGUCUCAUGUGCCUGAUAUAUGCCAAAAGAUAGAAGAAAGAAGCUGAUCCAGAAUAGUGUUGGGAGAAAAAACAAGGAGAAAAACAAGUAAAGGGAAAAACAAUAUCCAUGAGAUCCACUGAUUGUUUCGUUUGGGACAAUCAUAUAGCUUCAACUGAGGUGAAGUCUUGUUUACAGUCAGGAAAGAAUCACACAGAGGACUUUUAGCAUCAGUUGGGGGCAUUGAGACAUCUAAGCAGGGUACUUGGCCUAUAGUAACUCUUAUAGACUCUGUGUUGAAAGGUAGAAGAAGAAAUAGGAUUCGGAGGAGAGAAUUCCUAGGGGUCUGGGCAAAGGACAAUUUUAGUAAGAAGUCACUAUAUGCCUCUUUCCUAAAGCAUGUAAAAUAUAGAAGAAGGAUUAGGUACUAAAGGAUAUGCUUGUCCAAGGGGAAAGAACUUCCAGGAUCAGAAGUGUAAACCAUUUUCUAUUCCUGACACUUUCUGUGUAGACUUAGAAAGCUCUUUCUAACUCCUUUCAUUUCUGCCUGGCAGGUGAAAGGUAUAUUAAAUGACUUCUAUGAGAUUCCUUUCAUAUCUAUUAUUUUAGAAUAUGUUUUGGAAAUGAAAUCAAAAUCCAGAAACUUGAGGUGCAUGGUUCCUUUCCUUUGAGGGCUGCUACCUGUGUAUUUUGGGCAUAAUGGGAUGAGAUAAGAAUUUGUUUGAUACUCAGACCCUGACAGCCCUAAGAAAUGAAGAUCCCUUAGAAAAAUUUGUGUUAAGAAAUAAGCCUUCAUAUAUUUGGGAACACUCAUCUUCACCUUAAGAAUGUAUUGUUCCAGUCGAUAGACGCUUGAAGAUGUAAUUUUUGUACAAUCUUUCUUUUCUUUUCUGCAUGAUGAACUGAUAGGGUGACAGAAUUUAGGAAAGUAAAAACUGAUGGCUUUGCUGAUCCAAUUUAUUUUGAGAGAUUAAGACAUCAAAAACUUGACCAUUUUUAUUAUACUAUUCCCUUAAUUAACCACGUGUUUAGUUUGAUGAAAACUUAGAAAUGGGAAGGUAACUGUUAAUUCUUUGCCCAGAUGAUGAGAGCUGAAAUACUCUGGGCAUUCCAAACCCAGGAAGUCUAUAAAGUCAUUUAUCUGUGAAUAGUUAUUCUUAUAACUGAAGUUAUCUUUGUCUUUACUGCAAGGAGAAAGAGUUCACAUGGUUUAUUUGGCAAUUUUGCCUUACUUAAAACCACAAAGAUUAAAAUACUAUAUUCACCUCUACCCUGAAAGCUUUCUUAAUUAUAAAUGGCUACUCUUGAAAUAGCUAUGGUAACCUAUUAGACAAAGAGGAAAUGACUGAAAAAAAAGAACUGUACUUAGUUUGCUUUUUACUUUCCUAACUAUAGUAUAGCUAUUUACUGAAAAUUCUUCCUCUGAAAAUACUAAAUUUUCUGGUUAUCCAGGGAAUGAACACUAUAGGAUUCAAGUAAGGUCUUCCUUGCAUUAAAGAUAUUGAAAUUCUUUCUUUUGGACUAAUAUCUUUCCCUUUAUAAGGAUAUAAAGUAUCAGAGAAAUGCAAUUUCUACAGCUUGUCUGAGGAGAAAAAGAGGGUCAUAAGAACUCUACCUGGCUUCUCAGUUAAGAAAUGCCCUACUUAUAUAUUUGGAAAUUUUCAAGCUGAAGACAUCAAAGUAAGAGAAUUCAUUAUAGAGGCUUAGCUCCUGGAUAAAAUGAUGAAGAUGAAGACUAUACCAGAAUUAUCACCACUUUCAGGAUUGCCAUGAAGAGGGAUUAAUCAUCUAGCAAGCUUUUUUCUUCCAAUAAAAGGCAAUCUGAGUAAAAAUGCCUUUGCACAGAUGUUGAAGUGAUUCUAAAUGGUGUUCAAUCUAUUAUAUUUAAUAAAAGUCACAACUUGCCAAAUGCUCA
ensembl:lncRNA